CGGGAAUCGAACUCACAACCUCACAAUUGCCAGGCUGGUGCUGUGCUAUUGAGCUAUAUCCCCAGCCCUUGGUGACAUUACAAUGACAGCACAUUCCUUAGAAUACGUCUCUGUUGCCCAACAAUGCAUUUCUGGAUUUACUUCUAUCAGUAUGGACUCUGUGGGUUAUUUUUCCUUCUUGUUUUAGGGUUCAAAUUGUCCUUUAUCCUGCCAGUGGGAGCCCCUCUGUAUCCCAUCUGGGUAGUAGGUGUGCUUCUUGCUACUACUGAAGCUUCAUUGCUUAUAGGGAUGGACAGGGGACCCUGUGCUCCACAGGCCACAGAACCUGGUUCAGCAUGGGUCGUGACCAAAGCCAGAACAACUGAUGUAAGCCAUGGGACUUUUCUGCUAGGGGUGGCUUUGCGAGUGAGAGGACAUUAAAAAGAAACAAAAACCCCGA
rnacentral:lncRNA from 1 species